AUGCUGCAUUACACUGCAGGAUCCAUUUUGGACAGCUCUAUUCUCUUGCUCGCUUUGCUUUUCAGAAACUCAGAAUGUACAAAGGAUGUUGUCUUCAUUCCCUUGGGAAAGACUGAAGCUUGUUGCUGUUGUGAAGAUGAUCAGCAGGUCAGAGUGAAUUUUGUUAAGUUUUAUGUGAAAACCAAUAACUGCUGGGAUCAAAGUCUUUUCCACCUUAUUCAUUCAGAAUAUAAUCAGAUAAAUAUGGGCUUAACAGCUUCUCUCUUUAAGCACAAAUUCAAAAAUUUCAUGUGAGUUCUACUAUCUUGUUAGUAUGGAAAUAUUGAGAAUCACCUUCCUUGCUGUUGCAAGUUUUAUACUGGAAUAUUAUAAUGCGCUAAUAUCUGUCUUGGGAAACAGGUGUUUAUUAUAUUAAUUCAAUUCUCAUUGGUAUCAUAACUUUAGAACUAAUGGCAAAAUGAUGUAACAAGAUAAUGGAGUCUGAAAGUGAACAAUAGAAAUUAUGUUAUCCACUCCAGACAAUAUUAAUAUUUUUAAAAAUUAGAGAAGUUUGAGACAGGCAAUGAGAAUCUGACAAGCCAUUAUCAGUAUUUGACGAUGAGGAGAAAUACAGAGGAAAAGAGAUGCAAAAAAUAGAGUACUGACUGUACAAAAGUGAUUCUCAUGUAGCACUCUGAAUUAAGGAAUUAACCUUGAUUUACCUCGUUACUUCAAAAUAUUGAUAUUUAAAACAGCCACUCUGCUAUGAAAAUAAGUUUUAUUCAAAAGGUUGCAGUAUCAGCAGUAUUAAAUUACAAAAUUAUUUUAUGAAUCAGAAAAAAUUUGAAGCUUUAUUAGUUGUUCAGAGACAUAUUAACAAACACAUUUUAUUAAAAAGAUUCAUGUAAGACCUAUUCGUCUUAUAUUUAA
rnacentral:lncRNA from 1 species